CGUGUAGGCGGCCUGAUGUGUCAGAUGUGAAAGCCCUGGGCUUAACCCAGGAAGUGCAUUUGAAACUGUCAGGCUUGAGUAGGGGAGAGGGAAGUGGAAUUCCUGGUGUAGAGGUGAAAUUCGUAGAUAUCAGGAGGAACACCGGUGGCGAAGGCGACUUCCUGGCCCUAUACUGACGCUGAGACGCGAGAGCGUGGGUAGCAAACAG
rnacentral:rRNA from 1 species